CAGCCCUGUCUUCAGAGGACACUGUCCAGAUGAGAUGUGCACUCCAGAGCCGCAAAUCCUGGUUGCACAGUAUAACCGUGCACAGAAAGUCACGUUCUGCUGGCUGUGGCGCCUGGAAGCAGGGCACUGCAGCCUAGAACUCACUAUUAGACCAAGCUGGCCUUGAACUCAGAGACCCACCUGCCUUGGUUUAUUUUGACACAGUGUCUCUCACUCAUCAGGCCUGUGAGGCCCAGGCACCUUCCUGUCUCCUCUGCAGGUUUGAUACCCCAGACACCAGCUACACCAGACAGCAUGCACGUGGGUUCUGGGGAUCGGAAUUCAGUUCCUCUUGCUUUCUCUGCAAGACCUUUAACCCCAGAUCCAUCUCCCCGGUGUCAAGGUUGCACCAACUGGGAAUCCAUGAAGGAAUCUGAGAGAAGCAUGUUCUAGAAAUUUCUUCAGAGGAGAGGGAGAGCAAGCACCCACGAGCAGGAUGCCCUGGGGAUCUGAAGAUGUUUUUGUUACACAGGCUGUCACAGCCUGACUGACAGCUACACAUCACAACAAACAGUCCACGCUCCCACAGAGGUUGGUCUCCUCCUGCUGGAUUCAGAAGCAAAGCCAAGUGGGAAGACCUUUACUCUCCUGGUUUGUCAAGCUCUGUUCUGUGGACACAUUUCAGAGCUCUUCAGCUGGGCAGGAGCCAUUGUGCCGUGGCUGCUCAGCAUAAGAGGUUCCAGUAGGUUCUGUGCAAGAGCCGCAAGCCCUAGUCACCUCCUGUGUCUGCCCCAGCCCAGGCCUGGCAAGGUGGCAGGAAAGGCACCAGACCUGGGGGAAGAGCAUGUUCAAAGGCUCUGAGAACAAGGCUGUGACCCAAGACUGACCCAGAGUGACAAUGACAUGAAGAUCAAGGUGCUGGAGGGCAGAGACUCUGCAGCUAACAGUAUGCAAAGCUCUUACAGAGACUCUGAGUUCAGAGUCCCAGCACUCGUGCUGGGCUGCUCACAACCGCCUGAGACUGGAGCUCUGGCCUUCACAUACCUGCCUCACAGACUGUAAAAAUAAAGUCAACUGAGGGCUAGAGAGAUGGCUCAGUGGUUAAGAGCACUGGCUACUCUUCCAGUGGUCCUGAGUUCAGUUCCCAGCAACCACGUGGUGGAUCACAACCACUUGUAAUGGGAUCUAAU
rnacentral:lncRNA from 1 species